GGAGGAAAGCAGGGGAUCGCAAGACCUUGCGCUCAUUGAGCGGCCGAUGCCUGAUUAGCUAGUUGGUGAGGUAAAGGCUUACCAAGGCGACGAUCAGUAGCUGGUCUGAGAGGACGACCAGCCACACUGGGACUGAGACACGGCCCAGACUCCUACGGGAGGCAGCAGUGGGGAAUUUUGGACAAUGGGGGAAACCCUGAUCCAGCCAUGCCGCGUGAGUGAAGAAGGCCUUCGGGUUGUAAGGCUCUUUCAGCCGGAACGAAACGGUCACGGCUAAUACCUGUGACUACUGACGGUACCGGAAGAAGAAGCACCGGCUAACUACGUGCCAGCAGCCGCGGUAAUACGUAGGGUGCGAGCGUUAAUCGGAAUUACUGGGCGUAAAGCGUGCGCAGGCGGUUUUGUAAGUCAGAUGUGGAAUCCCCGGGCUUAACCUGGGAACUGCGUUUGAAUAACGAGGCUAGAAGGGC
rnacentral:rRNA from 1 species